rnacentral:rRNA from 1 species
ACAGCAGUAGCCGCGGGAAUACGUAGGGUGCGAGCGUUAAUCGGAAUUACUGGGCGUAAAGCGUACGCAGGCGGUUUGUUAAGUCAGAUGUGAAAUCCCCGAGCUUAACUCGGGAACUGCAUUUGAAACUGGCAGGCUAGAGUCUCGUAGAGGGGGGUAGAAUUCCAGGUGUAGCGGUGAAAUGCGUAGAGAUCUGGAGGAAUACCGGUGGCGAAGGCGGCCCCCUGGACGAAGACUGACGCUCAGGUACGAAAGCGUGGGGAGCAAACAGGAUUAGAUACCCGCGUAGUCCCUGUCUCUUAUAC